rnacentral:rRNA from 1 species
GACGAACGCUGGCGGCGUGCCUAAUACAUGCAAGUUGAGCGCUGAAGGUUGGUACUUGUACCAACUGGAUGAGCAGCGAACGGGUGAGUAACGCGUGGGGAAUCUGCCUUUGAGCGGGGGACAACAUUUGGAAACGAAUGCUAAUACCGCAUAAAAACUUUAAAAACAAGUUUUAAGUUUGAAAGAUGCAAUUGCAUCACUCAAAGAUGAUCCCGCGUUGUAUUAGCUAGUUGGUGAGGUAAAGGCUCACCAAGGCGAUGAUACAUAGCCGACCUGAGAGGGUGAUCGGCCACAUUGGGACUGAGACACGGCCCAAACUCCUACGGGAGGCAGCAGUAGGGAAUCUUCGGCAAUGGACGAAAGUCUGACCGAGCAACGCCGCGGGAGUGAAGAAGGUUUUCGGAUCGUAAAACUCUGUUGGUAGAGAAGAACGUUGGUGAGAGUGGAAAGCUCAUCAAGUGACGGUAACUACCCAGAAAGGGACGGCUAACUACGUG